UACGUAGGGUGCGAGCGUUAAUCGGAAUUACUGGGCGUAAAGGGCGCGUAGGCGGCCUGCUAAGUCGAACGUGAAAUCCCCGAGCUCAACUCGGGAACUGCGUCCGAUACUGGCAGGCUUGAAUCCGGGAGAGGGAUGCGGAAUUCCAGGUGUAGCGGUGAAAUGCGUAGAUAUCUGGAGGAACACCGGUGGCGAAGGCGGAUCUCUGGACCAGUUCUGACACUGAUGAGCGAAAGCCAGGGGAGCAAACAGG
rnacentral:rRNA from 1 species